rnacentral:lncRNA from 1 species
AAAAAAUAUGGCUCCAUAUCAGGAGGUAAGAAUCAGCAGAAAAGAAGGAAUCUUUGGAGAGCCAAAACCAUCUCUACACCAAAUUGAGAGACUGGAAUUAUAAGGUGAAUGCAAUUAACUGGCAGUCGCAUCCAUGUUGAGAACACAGUCAUCCCUUUAAUAGAGAACAUUUGCUGUGCUUGACAAACUCACAGUGAAAUGGUUGGAUCCAUAGGAAGCAACAUGCUGAAAAUGGUUUCAAUAUGAUCCUGUUUUUUCACUCAAUAGCCAUUGAUUGAGGGUGUCCAGCCAAAAACAAUGAGAAAAUGAGCCAACAAUAGUCUUACCCUUUGACCAUAUUAGAUAAAGUCGCAGCUGAAAUUUGUUAUAUGUUUCAGGAAUAACAAAGCAUCCAUAUGGAACAUAUAUUUGGCAGUGUGGCAGCUGAUGAAACCAGGAAAAUUAGACAAAUUAUCAAUUGCUCGCUCCCAAAUUACCCCAAAAAGAAAUUAGAUCCAUUUUCAGUAGCUUUGCCUUCAAAUUUCUUCAUUCCGUGAGUCACCACUACCUUCUGCCAAACUAAAUAUGUCUAUGAACGGCUGGAAACUUUAAUGGAAAGAAACAUAAAACUCAAACUACGUAGGAAAAUUUAAGCUUCUUCAUGGAAGAUCUUCGUGGAAGACUAGCAAGUUAGGAAUGUGUGAAGACAGACAACACAUCGAUAAUUCCUUUUGUUUGGGGUCACUUCUGAGUUAGAGAGCAAUGCAAC